rnacentral:rRNA from 1 species
AUUGAACGCUGGCGGCAGGCCUAACACAUGCAAGUCGAGCGGGGUUUUCGGACCUAGCGGCGGACGGGUGAGUAAUGCGUAGGAAGCUACCCGAUAGAGGGGGAUACCAGUUGGAAACGACUGUUAAUACCGCAUAAUGUCUACGGACCAAAGUGUGGGACCUUCGGGCCACAUGCUAUCGGAUGCGCCUACGUGGGAUUAGCUAGUUGGUGGGGUAAUGGCUCACCAAGGCGACGAUCCCUACCUGGUUUGAGAGGAUGAUCAGCCACACUGGAACUGAGACACGGUCCACACUCCGACGGGAGGCAGCAGUGGGGAAUAUUGGACAAUGGGCGCAAGCCUGAUCCAGCCAUGCCGCGUGUGUGAAGAAGGCCUUCGGGUUGUAAAGCACUUUCAGUAGGGAGGAAGGGUUAAGUGUUAAUAGUACUUAACUUUGACGUUACCUACAGAAGAAGCACCGGCUAACUCUGUGCCAGCCGCCGCAGUAAAAC